rnacentral:misc_RNA from 1 species
GAUGAAGAACGCAGCGAAAUGCGAUAAGUAAUGCGAAUUGCAGAAUUCAGUGAGUCAUCGAAUCUUUGAACGCACAUUGCGCCCUGUGGUAUUCCGCAGGGCAUGCCUGUUCGAGCGCCAUUUCAACCCUCAAGCCCCGCUUGGUGUUGGGCCCCGCCCGCUGUGGCCGGCCCUAAAGACAGUGGCGGCGCCGCCUGGCCCUCAGCGUAGUACAUCUCUCGCUCCAGGGUCCGGUGGCCGCCUGCCAGAACCCCCCAACUCUGUGGUUGACCUCGGAUCAGGUAGGGAUACCCGCUGAACUUAAGCAUAUCAAUAAGCGGAGGA